rnacentral:rRNA from 1 species
UACGUAGGGGGCAAGCGUUGUCCGGAAUCAUUGGGCGUAAAGCGCGUGUAGGCGGCCACGUUAGUCCGUUCUGAAAGCCCGGGGCUCAACCCCGGGAGGCGGAUGGAUACUGCGUGGCUCGAGUCCGGAAGAGGCGAGUGGAAUUCCUGGUGUAGCGGUGAAAUGCGCAGAUAUCAGGAGGAACACCAAUGGCGAAGGCAGCUCGCUGGGACGUGACUGACGCUGAGUCGCGAAAGCGUGGGGAGCAAACAGG